rnacentral:lncRNA from 1 species
UGAAAUCCAAUCUCUACAACUAUGCAAUACACCAAUCACUCCAUUUCUUAACGAACUUCAUACGACCCUGAAUUGUCCAAUUUCUUGAACCAAUCGAUAUCGGAUUGAGUCCAAAACUAGGGAAACAUCAUAAUAUGGUGGGAGGACUCAUUUGGUGGAUUUUCAGUGAAAUCCAAUGGCUACAACUGUCCAAUACACCAAC